rnacentral:rRNA from 1 species
GACGAACGCUGGCGGCGCGCUUAACACAUGCAAGUUGAACGGAAAGGCCCUGCUUUUGUGGGGUGCUCGAGUGGCGAACGGGUGAGUAACACGUGAGUAACCUGCCCUUGACUUUGGGAUAACUUCAGGAAACUGGGGCUAAUACCGGAUAGGAGCUCCUGCUGCAUGGUGGGGGUUGGAAAGUUUCGGCGGUUGGGGAUGGACUCGCGGCUUAUCAGCUUGUUGGUGGGGUAGUGGCUUACCAAGGCUUUGACGGGUAGCCGGCCUGAGAGGGUGACCGGCCACAUUGGGACUGAGAUACGGCCCAGACUCCUACGGGAGGCAGCAGUGGGGAAUAUUGCACAAUGGGCGGAAGCCUGGUGCAGCAACGCCGCGUGCGGGAUGACGGCCUUCGGGUUGUAAACCGCUUUCGCCUGUGACGAAGCGUGAGUGACGGUAAUGGGUAAAGAAGCACCGGCUAACUACGUG